UGCGUCAGUGAAAGCUUGCAACUUGUGAGAUUCAAGGUCCAAGACAAGGGUAGGCUCAUCAAAUUGAAUCCAUGAAGCACCAGCUGCCUUAAGGUCAGCAAUAACUUCCCUGUGUUUAUAGUUUAGGCAAAUUAGACAAAUAACAUGAAUAUACACGGAAAAUAACAACACCCAACAAGUUAAAAUUCUUACUUGUAGACAGCAAGAACCUUGGGAAGGAGAGAGAGGAGAGAAAAGGAUUUCUCGACUCCCUUGGCAGGCUUGGAGAGCAACAAGUAUGUAACAGGGCCAACGAGUACGGGAAUGGUAUCCACUCCAAGCUGCAAGACAAAUAAAUAUAUAUUCAAUGGCAAUGUUGAUACAGACAAACAUACAAAAAGGGCAAAGAAAAAAAACUUUUAUCACAAUGACCCACACAGGA
rnacentral:lncRNA from 1 species